GGUAUUUUGACCGUGCAAAGGUAGCAUAAUCAUUAGUUUUUUAAUUGAAAGCUGGAAUGAAAGGUUGGAUGAGAAAUAAGCUGUCUCUGUUUAAUUUUAUUAGAAUUUUAUUUUUAAGUCAAAAAGCUUAAAUUUUAAUAGAAGACGAGAAGACCCUAUAGAGUUUUAUUUAUUAUUUUAAUAAAAUUAAUAGUAUUAAUUAUUUUUAUUUAAAUAAUAAAUUUAGUUGGGGUGAUUGAAAAAUUUAAUAAACUUUUUUUGUAAAUACACAUUUAUAUAUGAUUAAUUGAUCCUUAAUUUAAGAUUAAAAGAUAAAAUUACCUUAGGGAUAACAGCGUAAUUUUUUUUGAGAGUUCAAAUCGAAAGAAAAGAUUGCGACCUCGAUGUUGGAUUAAAAUAAAAUUUUGGUGUAGAAGCUAAAA
rnacentral:rRNA from 1 species